UCUCAGAUCGUAUAGUGGUCAGUAUUUCUGCUUGUCAUUCCCAUGAAUCGCAGGAGGCCGGGGUUCGAUUCCCCGUCUGAGAG
rnacentral:tRNA from 1 species